UAUGCCUGUUUGCACGUUUCAUCAGUCACAGGUAUUUUACAAAUAUAUAUCAUUCAUGACAAUAAUAAUGCUGUGAUUACAUCUGAUUUGUGCGUCUUGUUGGUCAAACUUUAUGCGACACAUGACUGAAAAUUUUGUAGGCAUGUUUGGAUGGAUUAUUUAACUUGAAUUAUUUUUUAGUUUUGUACUCACAAGUGAGCUGAAAGUUUAGUUGCUGCUGCAAAUGGUGGUAUUCCAUGAUCUGCUACAUUGAGCUUUUUGCUUCUUAAAAUCUUCCUAUCCAAUGAGUACUCUACAUAGCUACUUGAAAGUUAUAUGUUUAUACAAGAAAGGGUUGCAUAGAUGCAAUCUAGUACUUCCUUUGGGUGUCGAUUAAUUUGCCGCAGAUGAAGGCAAGUGCCACUUAAGUAGAAUUUAGGACCACCAUUAAAGUGAGUGGUCCUGAGCAUGCUUGCAUCCAUCCAUGAUCUAUCUGCCAUGGGUUGUUCAACACUGAGCAACCACUUAAUUAGCAUAUUCAGGUUUGCAGAUUGACUUGAUGUGGUGUGCUGAUUUUGUAAGCAGGAAAUUGCUCCAUGAUGCCUGGCUUUACUUCCGUGCUCCAUCAUGUGUGGUCCUUGAAUUCUUGUGAACAUUUCCCCCUUGAUUGAUGUGGAAAAUGUGUCCGAAUUGGUGACAUCAUUUCUUGAACAGGUGGCAACUGGCAAGAGGAAUGGCAGAUCUUUGAUCAAACAACCACAUGCCCUGCACUAUCCUGCAUAUAUGCCUAGAGAAAAAGCAAAGUUACAGGCCAACAGUUUUGGCCAGUGAGCAAGCACAAAAGCAGGAAAAGAAGGGAUUAACCUAAAGCUAAAGCGGCAUCUCUUUUGCCCGCAUCUUUUCUAGGGCAACGAACAUUUCCAAGGAGACAGUGUCUGUGGAGUGCACCCCGUAGCACACGUAGAAGAUGGUGAUCACAAGGCUCCAGAUGCCGAACCUCUGAAAGGACCUCACCUUCAGGGUUGUCAUGAGGAACACAUUCAGGAAGACGGACGCGGC